GACGCACGCUGGCGGCGUGCUUAACACAUGCAAGUCGAACGAGUGGCGAACGGGUGCGUAAUACGCGCGUACCCCGCCCUCUUUUUGGGAUAAGCCUUGGUAACGGGGUCUAAUACCGGAUAAAGGGGGAUGGGCUAGGGGCCUAUCAGCUUGUUGGUGGUGUGAUGGCCUACCAAGGCGGUGACGGGUAGCCGGCCGGAGAGGGGGACCGGCUACAUAGGGACUGAGAUACGGCCAAGACUCCUACGGGAGGGAGCAGUGGAGGAUAUUGCAGAAUGGGCGAAAGCCUGAUGCAGAGACGCCGCGUGGGGGAUGAAGGCAUUCGGGUUGUAAACCUCUUUCGCUAUCGAAAGGGUAGGAGGGGAAGAAGCGCCGGCUAACUACGUGCCAGCAGCCGCGGUAAUAC
rnacentral:rRNA from 1 species